CGAACGAUGAAGCCCUUCGGGGUGGAUUAGUGGCGAACGGGUGAGUAACACGUGGGCAAUCUGCCCUUCACUCUGGGACAAGCCCUGGAAACGGGGUCUAAUACCGGAUAAUACUUUCCUCCUCCUGGAGGAAGGUUGAAAGCUCCGGCGGUGAAGGAUGAGCCCGCGGCCUAUCAGCUAGUUGGUGGGGUAAUGGCCUACCAAGGCGACGACGGGUAGCCGGCCUGAGAGGGCGACCGGCCACACUGGGACUGAGACACGGCCCAGACUNAUACGGGAGGCAGCAGUGGGGAAUAUUGCACAAUGGGCGAAAGCCUGAUGCAGCGACGCCGCGUGAGGGAUGACGGCCUUCGGGUUGUAAACCUCUUUCAGCAGGGAAGAAGCGAAAGUGACGGUACCUGCAGAAGAAGCGCCGGCUAACUACGUGCCAGCAGCCGCGGUAAUACGUAGGGCGCAAGCGUUGUCCGGAAUUAUUGGGCGUAAAGAGCUCGUAGGCGGCUUGUCACGUCGGUUGUGAAAGCCCGGGGCUUAACCCCGGGUCUGCAGUCGAUACGGGCAGGCUAGAGUGUGGUAGGGGAGAUCGGAAUUCCUGGUGUAGCGGUGAAAUGCGCAGAUAUCAGGAGGAACACCGGUGGCGAAGGCGGAUCUCUGGGCCAUUACUGACGCUGAGGAGCGAAAGCGUGGGGAGCGAACAGGAUUAGAUACCCUGGUAGUCCACGCCGUAAACGUUGGGAACUAGGUGUUGGCGACAUUCCACGUCGUCGGUGCCGCAGCUAACGCAUUAAGUUCCCCGCCUGGGGAGUACGGCCGCAAGGCUAAAACUCAAAGGAAUUGACGGGGGCCCGCACAAGCAGCGGAGCAUGUGGCUUAAUUCGACGCAACGCGAAGAACCUUACCAAGGCUUGACAUACACCGGAAAGCAUCAGAGAUGGUGCCCCCCUUGUGGUCGGUGUACAGGUGGUGCAUGGCUGUCGUCAGCUCGUGUCGUGAGAUGUUGGGUUAAGUCCCGCAACGAGCGCAACCCUUGUUCUGUGUUGCCAGCAUGCCCUUCGGGGUGAUGGGGACUCACAGGAGACUGCCGGGGUCAACUCGGAGGAAGGUGGGGACGACGUCAAGUCAUCAUGCCCCUUAUGUCUUGGGCUGCACACGUGCUACAAUGGCNGGUACAAUGAGCUGCGAUGCCGCGAGGCGGAGCGAAUCUCAAAAAGCCGGUCUCAGUUCGGAUUGGGGUCUGCAACUCGACCCCAUGAAGUCGGAGUUGCUAGUAAUCGCAGAUCAGCAUUGCUGCGGUGAAUACGUUCCCGGGCCUUGUACACACCGCCCGUCACGUCACGAAAGUCGGUAACACCCGAAGCCGGUGGCCCAACCCCUUGUGGG
rnacentral:rRNA from 1 species